UUUUUCUCUUUCCUUUGUUCUCACCCGUGCCCUAAACGCCCGAUCCCCCCUCCUUCUCCCCUCUCGCGACCCUUUCUCUCCCUCUCCCUCACGCGGCGACACACCCGAUCAUCUUCCCCUCCUCUUCAUCCUCGCCAAACCCAUCCCGAGCCUUCACACGCCGGCCGCCCUUUCCCAUCCUCCUCUCUUCUGCCCGACACCGCUCGAUUCCUCUAUCCCGUGCCCUAGCCAACUCGACGCCGAUGCUUCUCUCCUCCUCCGCCGAUCUAUGUUCCCCGUCCCCUUUUUGGAUCACUGAUCGAGGUGAGGAGGAGCUCGUCAUCCCUAACGUCGCUGCCGUCUCUCGACCCAAGCAGCGCCACCGCCCCUCUGCCCUGUGCGACUCUGCCCCUGUCGACGCCAUGCCCUAGAUCGCCGGCAUGAGGAGGUGUUCGGGGAUUCGAGGAAGCCACAGGUAUCGGUAGCUACAUCUUUUUCUUGCAGCAAACUCACCGAGCUGUGGAUCAAUUAGGGCUGUGAGAUUGAGGACUUUGAUUCGAGAUGACAUCUCAACGUGGGGUCUAUUUCGGAUACGAUCACCACUUUUUGAGGCGGGUACCUUGACUUAUCUUUUAGAUAUUAUCAUUUGAUAUGCAUAGUAGAUUUUAACAAGUAAUAAUAAUUAUGUGUUUAUCUACAUCGGUAUGUCAUUAUUUGUUUCCUAAGCAUGCUUUGUUUGUUACCUACUUGUUUUGCAUACAUGCCCUAUUUAUUAUUUAUAUUAUAGAGGUAGUGACAUACCAUGCCUUAUGAUAUAUCAGACUAGUUAGAUACCAUACCUGACAGGUGUACCUAGAUCAUAUUAUUGGAUUCAUUUGUAUUUUUGGUACAUAUAUUAUAUGGAGGUGUCAGGAUUUUCAUGCUUAGUGUCAUGCACCAUGUUACAUGAUUGCAUGCUGAGCGAUUGACAUCUCCAUUAUUGUUGAGCACAUCACCAGUUACAUGGAUCUGCACACACAACCACUCAUGGGUUAGUGAUAUAUCAGGCAGGGUGUGUGACAGUUUGCUCUGUCAGUGCUCCGCUGGUCCACUCAUGGGUAGCGUGACGCAGCGUGGUAGCACGUUAGGGAUCCCUUCUUUGGACUGUCUUAAGGAGAUGAGAGCAUUGUAUUCGCCCACUUAUGAUUUGGGGUAGGAGGAUAGGUGUACUCCAACAGCAUCCUAUCUACUUGGUCACUCAUCAGGAGCAAUGACGGCAGAGUGCA